rnacentral:rRNA from 1 species
CCGAUUUAGCCAUGCUAGUCGAACGAGUUCACACUCGUGGCACAUAGCUCAGUAACACGUGGCCAAGCUACCCUUCAGUCGGCAAUACCCUCGGGAAACUGAGGCUAAUAGCCGAUACGAAACAGACGCUGGAAUGCACUGUAUUCCAAAGACACCGGCGCUGAAGGAUGCGGCUGCGGCGAUUAGGUAGACGGUGGGGUAACGGCCCACCGUGCCAGUAAUCGGUACGGGUGAUGAGAGUCAGAGCCCGGAGACGGAAUCUGAGACAAGAUUCCGGGCCCUACGGGGGCAGCAGGCGGAAACCUUUACACUGCACGAAAGUGAAUAGGGGAAUCCCAAGUGCGAGAUUAGCCCUCGCUUUUGUUGACUCUAAGGCGGUCAACGAAUAAGAGCUGGGCAAGACCGGUGCCAGCCGCCGCGGUAAUACCGGCAGCUCAAGUGAUGUCCCAUAUUAUUGGGCCUAAAGCGUCCGUAGCUGGCCGACCAAGUCUAUCGGGAAAUCCACCUGCCCAACAGGUGGGCGUCCGGUAGAAACUGGCCGGCUUGGAACCGGAAGGCUCAGAGAGUACGUCCGGGGUAGGAGUGAAAUCCCGUAAUCCCGGACGGACUACCGAUGGCGAACGACUCUGAGAAGACGGCUUCGACAGUGAGGGACGAAAGCUCGGGUCUCAAACCGGAUUAGAUACCCGGGUAGUCCGAGCCGUAAACAAUGCUCGUUAGGUGUGGCACCCACUACGAGUGGGUGCUGUGCCGCAGGGAAGCCGCUAAACGAGCCGCCUGGGAAGUACGUCCGCAAGGAUGAAACUUAAAGGAAUUGGCGGGGGAGCACUACAACCGGAGGAGCCUGCGGUUUAAUUGGACUCAACGCCGGACAUCUCACCAGCCCCGACAUCAGUAAUGACAGUCAUGUUGAC